rnacentral:rRNA from 1 species
AUGUACAUUCCUACAACAUAAAAUUAAUUCAUAAGAUCCCAUUAGAACUCCGCAGUUAGAGUACUUGGGCUAGAGUAGUACUGGGAUGGGUGACUUCCCGGGAAGUCCUUGUGUUUUACAUG